AGCUGCACCCAGGAGAUCUUGGAGGAGAUGUUCUGUGGCUUCAACUCUUCUAACUCCCUAGACAAUGAUCAGGUGUACCAGGCAAACAAGGCACAGUGCUGUUCUGAGAGAUCCACACAGGAAAUCUUGGAUGAGUUGCUCCAAGGGUUCAAUUACUCCAUCUACCCCCGAGAAGCACAGGUGCAUCAGGCCACCGACUACAAGAAUGGCCAGUCUGGGCUGAGAACAAGUCCCAUUCAUGGUGAAAGUCAGGACCCAGAGAUGUUCAGGUUGGAUGUUUUUGGAUGACUCCAUGGAAUACUCGUCUUCAUAAAAGCUCUGAGUUGAGAGAAUGCGAGUGUUGCUCAGCUAUUCAUGUGUGUGGAAGUUUCCAAUGCUCUACCCUGCGUCCCAACCAACCAAUGGAAUCAUCCACCCUGACCACAGAUGAGGCCUGGAGCAUGAGGACUCACCGCAAAGGCAGAAUGGAUACUUUUGUACAGUCCCUGCUGCGAUCCUUCCAGAAGAGGAGCCUCUCAGAAAACGCAGUCGUUUUCCGUGUCUACCAGGUGUUCAGCGAAGCCCAAAGGGUCCUGGGCCAGCAGCUCCACAGAAUUCCUUGAACUUGGGGAAUCCACCCGACAUUUUGUGAGGAUAUUCAAGCAGCCCAGUGGAAAGGUCUGUGGGUUAGAGGAACUAAGGCCUAUUUCCAAGAGCCAAGUGAGUGAGCCGCCCUCCAAGCAUAUCUGCUAGGCCCACUCAAACAUUCAGGUUACCCUAUACCAUAGCUCACAGCUUACUGCAACUUUACAAGAGUGUUGGAGCCAGAAGCAUCCAACUAAGCCCUCCCAAAUUCCUAUUCAUAGAAACUGCUAGUAAAUUCUUGUUGUCUUAAGCCAAAAAGCACAGCAAAAAAAAAAA
rnacentral:lncRNA from 12 species